AUUAAUUUAGGAUUCUUGCCUAUGAAUUUGGGAAAUAUUUGAUAGAAAUAUCUAUAGGGAUUGAGAAUUAUGUCGAGAAUAUGGUGAAAUCAUUCCCUAGACAUUACGUAAAUUUGAUUUAAUCUUUAAAAAUUGCCUCACUUUUAUUGCAUUAUUUAAUUCAUUGACGUUAAUUUAGUAUUCAACAUUAAUUUAACACUCGAUUGUCUAGAUAAAGUAAACGCGGACACAAUUAUAGUACUCAGUGGAAGUCGAAUAUCAAUCCCUGUGGGUUCGACACUUUUCAAUUCUUUAAUAUACUACAAAACUUGACACCGUGCGCUUGCGGUAUAAAAUCACGUUAUAUAAAACGCGUGGCAAGUUUUUGGUGCCGUUGUCGGGGAUUGAUUCAUUCGAAUUCAAUUGAUAUUAUUACCAAUCGGCGUUCAUUUUACUCUAGAUUUUUAUUUUUUUUUUACCGUUAUUUUUAUUUCACUCCUUUUGUGUCUAUCUUUAAAAGUUUCCCUUUGAUUAUUUUCAGCUGUUUAUGCGAAGGGCGAGAAAUCUAGAUCUACUACCUGUUGAUCCUAAACCAGAACGCACAUUUCGCAUUCUCAGAGGCAUACAAAGAAACGAACGGGAAGCAAUGGCAGAACAGGAUGUUAGAGUAGCCAAUGAGGAUAACCAACAAAGGGCUAUUCGGGACUACAUAAGGCCGGUUGUCAAUGACAACUAUUCCGGCAUCGCACGCCCAGCAAUUGCUGCAAACAAUUUCGAAUUGAAGCCAGGGUUGAUACACAUGGUACAACAAAAUCAGUUUGGGGGUGCUGCAAUAGAAGACCCAAAUGCUCAUCUUGGAUCUUUUUUGGAAAUUUGUGACACGGUGAAGAUGAAUGGGGUUACUGAAGAUGCAAUUAGACUCCGCCUAUUCUCAUUCUCUUUAAGGGAUAAAGCAAAGGCUUGGUUCCAAUCACUACCAUAUGGCUCAAUUACANGGUAUUGAG
rnacentral:lncRNA from 1 species